GAAACCAACAGGGAUUGCCUCAGUAACGGCGAGUGAAGCGGCAAAAGCUCAAAUUUGAAAUCUGGCUCCUUCGGGGCCCGAGUUGUAAUUUGCAGAGGAUGCUUCGGGGGCGGUUGCGGUCUAAGUUCCCUGGAAAGGGGCAUCGUAGAGGGUGAGAAUCCCGUCUUCGGCCGGCUAACCGCGCCCGUGUGAAGCUCCUUCGACGAGUCGAGUUGUUUGGGAAUGCAGCUCUAAAUGGGUGGUAAAUUUCAUCUAAAGCUAAAUAUUGGUGGGAGACCGAUAGCGCACAAGUAGAGUGAUCGAAAGAUGAAAAGCACUUUGAAAAGAGAGUUAAACAGCAUGUGAAAUUGUUGAAAGGGAAGCGCUUGCAGCCAGAUUCGGCCGCGGAGGCUCAGCGGGCAUUCUUGCCUGUGCACUCCCCCGCGGUCCGGGCCAGCAUCAGUUUAGGCGGCCGGUCAAAGGCCCCCGGAAUGUGUCGCCCUUCGGGACGUCUUAUAGCCGGGGGUGCAAUGCGGUCAGCCCGGACUGAGGAACGCGCUUCGGCACGGAUGCUGGCAUAAUGGCUGUAAGCGGCCCGUCUUGAAACACGGACCAAGGAGUCUAACAUCCACGCGAGUGUUCGGGUGUCAAACCCGUCCGCGCAGUGAAAGCGAACGGAGGUGGGAGCCCUUAAGGGUGCACCAUCGACCGAUCCUGAAGUCUUCGGAUGGAUUUGAGUAAGAGCGUGACUGUUGGGACCCGAAAGAUGGUGAACUAUGCCUGAAUAGGGUGAAGCCAGAGGAAACUCUGGUGGAGGCUCGCAGCGGUUCUGACGUGCAAAUCGAUCGUCAAAUUUGGGUAUAGGGGCGAAAGACUAAUCGAACCAUCUGGUAGCUGGUUCCUGCCGAAGUUUCCCUCAGGAUAGCAGUAGCGUUUUCAGUUUUAUGAGGUAAAGCGAAUGAUUA
rnacentral:rRNA from 1 species